CACAUUAGCCACAAAAGCAUGCUGACAAUGAUUUUUCAUCAUUUUCAGCAUACAUAAGUCAUGAGGUACACACAAACGCCCAACUGUUGACUGGAUUUUUACAAAGGGCAGGACAAGUUUCCACAAUAUGAUCACAUUUGUUGAUAACAUAUUUUCCAACCAGAUUUGGAUUAGGGAAAUUUUUAUCAAUUCUCGCCCUUCUUAAUUUGCAUAUAGAAUUUACUUUUUUAAAGAGGUGGCUGAAAAAUCAUAGAUAGUGGAAAGUUCAGCCAGUGGAAGGUCCCAAUAAAUUAAGUGGUAACUUUCAGCCAAAUUAGUGGUGGGUUAAAUUUGAGCCUUUUUUAAAAUUCAUAGUGCAAAUUGGAUUUUUCAUUGAAACACAUGGUUUAAAAUUUCACAUGGUUUGUAUAUUUAUGUAAACCAUGUUAAGCCUCAAGGUUUGACUUAAAAGUCCAAGUCACAUAUGAAAAUGCACAGAAUUUCAUGCUGAAUCAAAAUUUGGGACUGGUUUUGAUCUAAUUCGUAAUUUGAGGAAGUCCGUUUAAACCAAUCCCAAAAUCUUAGAAAAACCCACAAAAACCCAAAACCCUAAAAACCGCGGAAAAACCCGACGUUUUCCGAACCAUGCAUUUUGGAAGACUAAUAUACGACAUAUCGUCGUACUAAUUCAUAAAAGACCUAAGUACAGUCGAUAGUUAAUUAAGAAAAGACCUAAAUGCAGUCGAUAGUUAAUUAAGUAAUAACCUAACUACUUACUGGCCGGUGGAUAUUUUUAACACGGAAAGGAUCCAUCUUGUGCGUGUUACAAAUAUCCAUCGGCCAGUAAGUAGAGCGUGUCCCAAAUGUAUCUCCCUAUCACUCGCGCGCGUGGUUUUUCGUUUAUAUCUUUUGUGUUAAUUUUUUUUUCGUAAAUUUUUUGUUUACACAAUGACCCCAAACGUCAAGCAAUCUCGUCAGCACACACGGCUGAGGAUACACACAUUAUCAAAAGGUGGAUAUCCUGUAAAACAAAUUUGUGAAAAAUUAAAACUGUCUCCAAAUACGGUUAGAUUAUGGAAGAACAAAAAUUUUUUUACUGACAAACCAAAAUCUAGAAGGUCAAACGUGCUCCUCCCAACAGCAAAAUGACAGAUAAAGUCAAAAAUGCAUCGAAAUUUGGAAGUUCUGUUAGGAAAACUGCACGCAUACUAAACUUCACUCCACGGUAAAUCAAGAAAGGCCAGCAAAUUUCAAGAAGCACCGUUGACCGUUACCUAAAAACGACAUCAUGGGGUGGGAAGGUCUUCAGGAGUCCCAGGAAAACAAUUUUGUGCAAAAAAAAUAUCGAGGAUCGAGUCAAAUUCGAAGAAAUUGUCGCGAAAAGUGCAUUUUUAACACCAGGGAAAAACUGGGGGCGAACAUCCGCUUCACAGACUAAAGCUGGAUCGAACUACACGGUCAAGGUCACUCUCAGAAUAGGAGUUACAGGGCCGAAGAAAAGAAGGAUGUAGCUCUCAUCAUGAAGCCAAAACACGACCUCAAAAUCAUGGUAACGCGUGGGUUCUGCACAUGUGGUGUCUCAAAGCUGCAUUCAUACACCAGGAUCAAUUAGUUAAUGCUGCCUACUAUCAGAACAAUAUUGUUCCCGUUUACGUGGAGCCUAUGGAUAGUGGAAUCUUCAGCAGCAGAAAAAAUAUUGUUUUUCGUUAAGAUGAUGCCCCACCACACACUGCAAAGUCAAGUAUGAAGAUACUGGAGGAGGCAUUUUCAACCGUCUGCAGAAUGGGGGUGUGGCCAGCAAACUCCCCAACCUCAACCCGCUUGAGAACCUAAAUGGGUAUACUAAAGGAGGCUGCAUAUGACGAGGCUCAUCCUAAAACAAGACAGGAAUUACAGGGUCGAUUCGAGGAAACUUGAAAUUCACUUCCGGUUUCGCUUUUACAAAACCUCGCCCAAAGUUUCAAGACGAGGGUGGACCAAAUGAUGGCUAAUGCGGGUGGUCACACAACUUACUAAGAUUACACAACAAACACGAUGAAUUAUUACCUCAGCUUUUCGUCCCCUGGGGUAAUUUCAUACUCCUUUGUAACCGUUCCCCUUACGGACGCAUUCCUUGCAGGGAGUCAGUACAAAGUGGGUAGACAAGACACGAUUCCUGCCGCGUUGAGAGGGAUGGCUGGAGACAUGCGUGUAAUUCUGCAAGAUGCCACCGGAAGAUAUCAUAUUAGUCGUUGUUUUGAAGUUAUGAUUGGAAAUUGAGGGGAUUCAAGCAAGACAAUGAUGGAAAUGCGUAGUCAAAAUAGUUUUAAAUCAAUUUAAUCAAGGAACAAAAUUAUUGUGAAGAAAAUUCGAAUAAAGAUUCAGCAUAUGUAUGUACAUAAUGUCAUCCAA